GGGAAAGAAGGAACCGAUUCUAGAAAUGGUUAAGUCACUUUAUCCUUGAAGAGCAGGUGUUAAUUCAUUUGCACGGUGGGCAGGAACGAGGAGGGCGAAAGUCCUGUCCCCUCCAUCACUCCAGAGAAGACCCACUGCUCUGGCAGGCGGCAGGAAACCUGACUCCCGCUAAAAAGGGACAUCUAAUCCUUUUGGUGGCUCAGGCCACCAGUGACUAGUACCUGCUCAUGGCAUUGCAGUCUAGAGAAUGGCAACAUGGUGAGAGAGCAUACGCAGGACAUGCUGGCGGUGAAGCAGAGCCAGACAACCUGGACAGGGCUGUCACUGGAGAGGAAGCAGAGCCAGGCACAUGGUUAGA